GCCGGUGUUAAACCGGAGGAAGUGGGGAUGACGUCAAGUCCUCAUGGCCUUUAUGCUUAGGGCUACACACGUGCUACAAUGGGUGGUACAAAGAGAAGCCAACUCGCGAGAGCGCGCCAAUACUCAAAAAAGCCAUCCUCAGUUCGGAUUGGAGUCUGCAACUCGACUCCAUGAAGUUGGAAUCGCUAGUAAUCGCGGAUCAGCAUGCCGCGGUGAAUACCGGUUCCCGGCCUU
rnacentral:rRNA from 1 species